CUACGUGCCAGCAGCCGCGGUAAUACGUAGGGUGCGAGCGUUAAUCGGAAUUACUGGGCGUAAAGCGCACGCAGGCGGUUUGUUAAGUCAGAUGUGAAAUCCCCGCGCUUAACGUGGGAACUGCAUUUGAAACUGGCAAGCUAGAGUCUUGUAGAGGGGGGUAGAAUUCCAGGUGUAGCGGUGAAAUGCGUAGAGAUCUGGAGGAAUACCGGUGGCGAAGGCGGCCCCCUGGACAAAGACUGACGCUCAGGUGCGAAAGCGUGGGGAGCAAACAGGAUUAGAUACCCUGGUAGUCCACGCUGUAAACGAUGUCGACUUGGAGGUUGUGCCCUUGAGGCGUGGCUUCCGGAGCUAACGCGUUAAGUCGACCGCCUGGGGAGUACGGCCGCAAGGUUAAAACUCAAAUGAAUUGACGGGGGCCCGCACAAGCGGUGGAGCAUGUGGUUUAAUUCGAUGCAACGCGAAGAACCUUACCUACUCUUGACAUCCAGAGAAUUCGCUAGAGAUAG
rnacentral:rRNA from 1 species